UUCUACAAAGACAUCAAAUCUUCACAUAGUAGUUUCAUAAAGCCAUCAAGUUCGCACACAACAGUUUCACAUAGCCAUCAAGUUCACACACAAAAGUUUCACAAAGACAAGUUCACACAAUCAGUUCAACACAGAGAUCUAAGUUCACAUAUAAGUUGUUUCACUUCCUUAGCUGCAUCAUAAGCCACCUCUUCCUCCUUUCCAUUGGGAGUGCCAUCAUCGACUCAAACUUGCGUGCAUUAGAGGUGAGGAUGUCAUAAAGCUCAAGUUCUGUGUCUUCAUCAAGUCCCUCAACCUCUUGUAAUGCGGCGAGAACUUCGGCGGAAGAGGGUAGCUUUGGACCGUCAUCUUUCAAUGCAGAUGUAAGCAUGUCGAACUUAUCACACCAUAUAGAGUUAAAUGAAUCAUCUGAUCUUUGUCUUUUUAAACUACUCGAGGAAGAUACAGAAUAUGGAGCAUCCUUGCCUCUGGUAUCAUUCUCUUUUGCCAUUUCCUUUGAACUUUCAGCUGUUGCUUUAGCACCCUCUCCAUUUGCUUGGUCUUUAUUGUACACUAGGCUGAGUAGAUCCCAAAACUUCACAACCUUAUGUCUAUAUCCUUUUUCUUCCUUAUUCCUCUAUAAAAAAAUUGUUACAAAGAUACAUCAACAAAUAAACUUGGAAUUGAAACAUAAACUAAGCUGCAAGAAAUGGAAUAAACUACUAGGCAACAGUAGCAUGCAUGACCAAUUUGGAGUAAAAAUAAGAACAAAAAUUCUUCACAGUUUACAGUUCAGCAGUAGAAUUUGGAGUAAAAAUGGAAUAAACUACAAAAAUUGAAAGUAAUGGCAGUAGUGGCAGACAAAGUAGUUUACAAAGCUAACAAAAAUUCUUCACAGUUUACAGUAGCGCACGGUGAACAAAACAGGCCUAAGCAGUAGCGCACGGUGAAGAAAAUUCUUCACAGUUUCCUUAAAACUAAGCUUUGCUAACACCAGUAGUGGCAGACAAAGUAGUGCACAAUUGAAAAUAUACACUACUUUGUUAGCCGCCCAACAAGACAGGCCUAAGCAGCCAAGCUAAGCUUUCCUUAAAUAUACACUCAUAUGUACAGUUUACAGAUAGCCUGACCAGUGCACGAUGAACAAAAAUUGAAUUACAAAAAUUGAACUGCAAAUAUUGAACAACAAAAAUUUUCUUACCUCAACGUACUCAUCCCAUACAGUGUCACUAUCAACUUUGAGCUUGUUCUUCUCCCAAUCCCAUCCAAAACCACUAGUGGACAACAAACCAUUAACGAUAUUGUAGUGCUUAUCAAAGGUCUUGCUACGAGAGCUAAUAUUUUCCUUUGUAAUGGUGACAUUACACUUCUCACAAACAUUCUUCACAGCAGCUGUGUAUACAUGAGACUUCCACCCAUUCUAUCUAUCACAUUUAUUGUGAUAGUCCACAAAUGUAUCAAGGAGUACCUUAUCCAUCUCAUCAUUCCAAGGAACAUAGCCCCUUGUUUUCUUGUCCUACAAUCAAAGAACCACACAUAUAAAAAACACAAACACAAAAAUUCAUAAAUGACAAAGACAUAGAAAACAGAAGCAUACAACUAUGAGCUUUGACCACGCCUCGCUUGAUAAUCAAUAAACAUUUCACUAGCUUUGUGUCUCUAAAAUAACCCCACUCAUUAGUUGAUUGAACAUGCGUAAUCAUACUCAUUUCUCCUUGAUUUUCAGCAGGAGCAGCAGAGAUGAGACUAUCAACUUCAUGUAUUAGAAUAUCGUCCAUAUCUCUUUGUAUAUCCCUUAAAAAUUAUGCAAUAUGCAGCAAGCAUGGAUGAUCCUAAUCUGCAUAGAAUAAUAUGGCUAAGUCAAUACACAAUUUAAAAACUAACGAUUGAAUUUUAAUUGAAUACCUAUUAUGUUAUACCUGGUUUUCUAAAUCAAAAUAUGAGCUAGUCCUCAAGAUUGCCCAUCUCAUCUUCAAUAGCCCAAAAGUUCUCUCUAUCACAUUCCUAGCUGUUGCAUGGCGUAGGUUGAAUAACUCUCUCGCAGUAGAUGGAUUGUUGCCUUGAAUAGCCCAUUCAUUCAAGUGGUACCGUGUAGAUCGGUAUGGGGCAUGAAAUCCCGGACCAUUUGUAUAUCCAGCAUCCACUAGAUAGUAUUUACCACUAGGAACAACAAAUGAGUCCUCCCGUGACAUGGCAUCACGUAGUAUGCGUGAAUCCGAAGCCGACCCUUCCCAUCCAGCCAAGACAUACAGAAACUUCAUUUAUCGAUCACAAACCCCCAAUAUAUUAGUGGUGAUUCGUUGCUUCCUAUUUCUGUACCUACCUUGGUCAGUCAAUGGAACAUUCAGAUCGAUAUGUAUGCCAUCUAGUGCACCUAGGCAGUCCUCAAACAAUUUCCACUUUGGAUCCUCAGGUAGAGUGGUUUCUGGAUUAGGGAGCUUGAUGAACUCAUGACUUAAAGAUAGAAUCCCUCUAAGCACUUCGUUGAAGUGUCGACUGAUUGGUUCAAGGGACCACCCAUAAGUGCUACGAAUCAACCUCAUUUUGGUGUUAUGACCUACUAUAAGCAGAAAAAUUACAAGCUUUUCUUCUACCGACACAUUUAGGGUAUCUUGUAGGCCACUCUUUUCCCGUAAGAUGGCACUCAAGUCACUAAAAGAUCUCUUAGUUAGGCGCAAACUGUCAUAGCAAUAGACAUUUGAACCAUGGUACAUAUUACGUAGCAUUUGUUUUCUGCACUCGACAUUUCUCUCUUGAACUUUGUUAGCAUCUGCGAUGUGUCUAGGUCUCCUCCGUUGAUACCGGUUUGCAAUAAUAGCCAUAAUAGACACAGCUAAUACAACAACUCUCUUUCGCUUCUUUCUCUUCCUUUUAAUUUCCUCCUAUUGAGUUGAUAUCUAGAACAAGUAAUUUAUAUGCAAUUAGACAUGCUAGUUGAAAGCAAAAUGCUCUACUCAAGAAUAAAAACACUACUAGUAGGAGCACAAGGUGGAAUAGGAGAAGUACCGAUGUAGCCAUGGAGAUUGAAGGAUUUGUUCGAGGUAGCUAGAUGAAACUUGAGGCGGCAAAUCCCAAAAUAGCGAGCUGUUUUAACACUCCUGCAAAUGAUUUGUUGGAGGUAGUUAGGCGAGACUGCAAAAAAACUUUGUUGGAAACAUUACUUAACACACAAAAGAAGAAAAAGUAGAUUCCUGAACAGCAGUAGCACAUCUCUAUUGAUCACAUAGGUUUCAAGUGAGGGAGUUCAGAAGACAUCAGAAUAGCUACAUUUCUUAAAAAUGGACAGGAACCAAAUAUCCACACAGAUUAUUUAUGCCCUCGGACAAAGCUACAUUACAGUCUCCCCGAUCGAAGCAAACUAAUGGAACAAAUGCUAGUAAAUGACAGCCUGCAAGCUAAGGUACGAACUAUGUCUGCACGAUUAUAACUAUCAAUAGUGGAUUUAAUUCUAUGUAUGAAGUGGUAACUAUAUCCUCCCCUGCAUGAUUAACCAACCAAUAAUUGAUUACAAGGACCAGCCAAACAGCCCUCGCAGUCAGUUCCAGUUCAUCGGCAGUUCAGACUUCAGACUACCUCUGAUCUGCUAAUGCCUUCCUGUCAUAAGAGUUCAGAGCAACGUAAUAAUGUACCCUUAAGACUGAUGGUGAAGAAUAACAAGAACAUGUGGGGAUUGCCGUAUAGUAUUCGUUUACACCAGCGCAUACACCAGCGCAUACACCAGCGCUACCUGUAUUCUUGCUAAAACUACCUAUAGCGCAUACAUCACCGCUACUUGUAUUGCUAAAACUACCUGUAUGCCUUCCUGUAUUCUUGCUAGAACAUGUGGGCAUCGCAUACACCAGCGCUACAAAGGCAAAUACGAAUUAAUCACGCGACGGCAAAAGAUUUUUCAAGGACUACAUGUAUUCUUGCUCAGAAUUAACCAGCGCUACAAAGGCAAAAACUACCUGUAUUCUUGCUUGGAAUUAAUCACGUGGCAUAAGAUUUGGAGGGAAGAGGAUCAGUAGAGAACUCACCCAAAGAACAGGGGAAACGGAGUCUGGCGAGGCUGCGAUGGCUGCCUCCGUGUGACUUGGAGUGGAGCGGCGGAUUGGAGCAGAGCGAUGCCGCGAGCAGGGAGCGGGUCGGCGUGAGCGACGAGCAGGGAGCGGGGCGGCAUGAGCAGCGAGCGAUGUCGCGAGUAGGGAGCGGGGUGGCGUGAGCGGCGAGCAGGGAGCGAGACGGCGUGAGCGGCGAGCGAUGCCGCGAGCGGAGCGGGACGGCUAACCCUAGCCACUUUCUGACGCUUUCCGAUGGGUGAUGGUCUAAAAUGAGACAAGGCCAAAUUUUUAGGGACGAGAAAUGGGCUGAAAUGGCCAAUUCAAUUCUAAGGGGAUCCAAACAGGCCGAGAUAUGGAAUUUAAUUCAAUUUGGACCAAUUCUAGGGAACCAAACGGGCUGUUACGCCCCGUUUGGAUGCCUAGAAAUGAAACCUUUUCCAAGAAAUAAAUUCCAAGAAAUGAAUUAUAUAGAAUUCAAUCAACUAGAAAGUGAUUCAAUUCCAUUAUUUUUGUUUGGUUGUACAAGCAAUUGAAUUCCUAGAAUUAAAUUCUAGAUGUUGUUUGGAUACUUUGCAACGGAAUUUGAAUUUGAAUACAAACAAGGAUCUCUUGACUUUGCAUCAGCUUAAAAAUGAGCAUGAACAAUUUACAACUAUCAGAAACUAUUAAGUUCACAAAUAACAAUUCCACAAAGGCAAGUCACACAUAACAGUUUCACAAAGUCAUCAAAUUCGCACAUAAAAGUUCUACAAAGACAUCAAAUCUUCACAUAGUAGUUUCAUAAAGCCAUCAAGUUCGCACACAACAGUUUCACAUAGCCAUCAAGUUCACACACAAAAGUUUCACAAAGACAAGUUCACACAAUCAGUUCAACACAGAGAUCUAAGUUCACAUAUAAGUUUUUUCACUUCCUUAGCUGCAUCAUAAGCCACCUCUUCCUCCUUUCCAUUGGGAGUGCCAUCAUCGACUCAAACUUG
rnacentral:lncRNA from 1 species